rnacentral:rRNA from 1 species
AGGAUGAACGCUGGCGGUGUGCCUAAUACAUGCAAGUCGAACGAGAUCUUCGGAUCUAGUGGCGGACGGGUGAGUAACACGUUGGUACCUACCCCUAAGUGGGGAAUAACUGCCCGAAAGGGUGGCUAAUACCGCAUAAUCCCGCAAGGGUAAAGCAGUAAUGCGCUUAGGGAGGGGCCUGCGUCUGAUUAGCUAGUUGGUAGGGUAAUGGCCUACCAAGGCGACGAUCAGUAGCUGGAUCGAGAGGUUGACCAGCCACACUGGGACUGAGAUACGGCCCAGACUCCUACGGGAGGCAGCAGUAAGGAAUCUUCCACAAUGGAC